rnacentral:rRNA from 1 species
UACGUAGGUGGCAAGCGUUAUCCGGAUUUACUGGGUGUAAAGAGCAUGUAGGCGGGAAUGCAAGUCAGAUGUGAAAUUUGAGGGCUCAACCCUUAAGCUGCAUCUGAAACUGUGUUUCUUGAGUACUGGAGAGGAAAGUGGAAUUCCUAGUGUAGCGGUGAAAUGCGUAGAUAUCAGAAGGAACACCGGUGGCGAAAGCGACUCUCUGGCUCGUUUCUGACGCUGAGGUGCGAAAGCUAGGGUAGCGAACGGG